AGAGUUUGAUCAUGGCUCAGAUUGAACGCUGGCGGCAGGCCUAACACAUGCAAGUCGAGCGGAUGAAGGGAGCUUGCUCCUGGAUUCAGCGGCGGACGGGUGAGUAAUGCCUAGGAAUCUGCCUGGUAGUGGGGGAUAACGUCCGGAAACGGGCGCUAAUACCGCAUACGUCCUGCGGGAGAAAGUGGGGGAUCUUCGGACCUCACGCUAUCAGAUGAGCCUAGGUCGGAUUAGCUAGUUGGUGGGGUAAAGGCCUACCAAGGCGACGAUCCGUAACUGGUCUGAGAGGAUGAUCAGUCACACUGGAACUGAGACACGGUCCAGACUCCUACGGGAGGCAGCAGUGGGGAAUAUUGGACAAUGGGCGAAAGCCUGAUCCAGCCAUGCCACGUGUGUGAAGAAGGUCUUCGGAUUGUAAAGCACUUUAAGUUGGGAGGAAGGGCAGUAAGUUAAUACCUUGCUGUUUUGACGUUACCAACAGAAUAAGCACCGGCUAACUUCGUGCCAGCAGCCGCGGUAAUACGAAGGGUGCAAGCGUUAAUCGGAAUUACUGGGCGUAAAGCGCGCGUAGGUGGUUCAGCAAGUUGGAUGUGAAAUCCCCGGGCUCAACCUGGGAACUGCAUCCAAAACUACUGAGCUAGAGUACGGUAGAGGGUGGUGGAAUUUCCUGUGUAGCGGUGAAAUGCGUAGAUAUAGGAAGGAACACCAGUGGCGAAGGCGACCACCUGGACUGAUACUGACACUGAGGUGCGAAAGCGUGGGGAGCAAACAGGAUUAGAUACCCCGGUAGUCC
rnacentral:rRNA from 1 species